rnacentral:rRNA from 1 species
AGUGAACGCUGGCGGUAGGCCUAACACAUGCAAGUCGAACGGCAGCACAGUAAGAGCUUGCUCUUACGGGUGGCGAGUGGCGGACGGGUGAGGAAUACAUCGGAAUCUACUUUUUCGUGGGGGAUAACGUAGGGAAACUUACGCUAAUACCGCAUACGACCUACGGGUGAAAGCAGGGGAUCUUCGGACCUUGCGCGAUUGAAUGAGCCGAUGUCGGAUUAGCUAGUUGGCGGGGUAAAGGCCCACCAAGGCGACGAUCCGUAGCUGGUCUGAGAGGAUGAUCAGCCACACUGGAACUGAGACGCGGUCCAGACUCCUACGGGAGACAGCAGUGGGGAAUAUUGGACAAUGGGCGCAAGCCUGAUCCAGCCAUACCGCGUGGGUGAAGAAGGCCUUCGGGUUGUAAAGCCCUUUUGUUGGGAAAGAAAAGCAGCAGGUUAAUACCCCGCUGUUCUGACGGUACCCAAAGAAUAAGCACCGGCUAACUUCGUG